GACGAAGGGGGCUAGCGUUGUUCGGAAUUACUGGGCGUAAAGGGCGCGUAGGCGGUUUGCUAAGUUGGAUGUGAAAACUCUGGGCUUAACCCAGAGCCUGCAUCCAAAACUGGCAAACUUGAGUACUGGAGGGGAAAGCGGAAUUCCUGGUGUAGCGGUGAAAUGCGUAGAUAUCAGGAGGAACACCGGUGGCGAAGGCGGCUUUCUGGACAGUAACUGACGCUGAGGCGCGAAAGCUAGGGGAGCAAACAGG
rnacentral:rRNA from 1 species